rnacentral:lncRNA from 1 species
GGAUUUACAUAUAUUCUUCGUAAAGUCCUCGUAAAAGAAAACACGGGCCUUGCUACUUCCUCCUAAAAAAAUACGGGCCUUGUUAUUUCCUCGUAAAUGUUACGUUGUUUUUACGACGAAAGUUAAAAAUGAAAGGGCGGCCUUGUUACUUCCUCGUAAUUUCACGAGGAUUUUACGACGAAAUAUAACUCCCUAUAUAGCGAACAAUGUCACUUCUCAUUUCGUAGUCACUUCCUCUUCUCUUCCUAGCAAGGUUCUCCUCUCUACUUCCUCUCUAGUUUAGCUUAGGUGGUUAGUUUAGGGUAAUUAGUGUUGAUUAGGUGGUUAGUAUAGGGAAUUUGUAGAUAGGUUUAUGGAAUUUGUUGAUUAUUAUAGGAUGAUGAUUUUUAAAUAUAAAUUAAUUUAUAUGUGUUCUUUUCGGAUAGUUAAUAAUGAA